UAGGGAAUCUUCCACAAUGGACGCAAGUCUGAUGGAGCAACGCCGCGUGAGUGAAGAAGGGUUUCGGCUCGUAAAGCUCUGUUGUUGGAGAAGAACGUGCGUGAGAGUAACUGUUCACGCAGUGACGGUAUCCAACCAGAAAGUCACGGCUAACUACGUGCCAGCAGCCGCGGUAAUACGUAGGUGGCAAGCGUUAUCCGGAUUUAUUGGGCGUGAAGCGAGCGCAGGCGGUUGCUUAGGUCUGAUGUGAAAGCCUUCGGCUUAACCGAAGAAGUGCAUCGGAAACCGGGCGACUUGAGUGCAGAAGAGGACAGUGGAACUCCAUGUGUAGCGGUGGAAUGCGUAGAUAUAUGGAAGAACACCAGUGGCGAAGGCGGCUGUCUGGUCUGCAACUGACGCUGAGGCUCGAAAGCAUGGGUAGCGAACAGG
rnacentral:rRNA from 1 species